rnacentral:rRNA from 1 species
UACAGAGGGGGCAAGCGUUAUUCGGAAUUAUUGGGCGUAAAGGACGCGUAGGCGGCUUUGCAAGUGACGGGUGAAAUCCCUCGGCUUAACCGAGGAACUGCCUGUCAAACUGCAUGGCUUGAGACCGGGAGAGGUGAGUGGAAUUCCCAGUGUAGCGGUGAAAUGCGUAGAUAUUGGGAGGAACACCAGUGGCGAAGGCGGCUCACUGGACCGGUACUGACGCUGAUGCGCGAAAGCGUGGGGAGCAAACAGG